AUUGAACGCAGUCGGCCGGCCUAUCACAUGCAAGUUGAACGAGUGGAGGACGUGUGAGUACUGUCCGGGUAACCGCCUUAUGGUAGGGGAUAACUUCUGGAAAACGUUGCUAAUACCGUAUACCAUCGGCUGUGCCCAGAUUGGAUUAGCUAGUAGGCAGGGUAAAGGCUCACCUAGGCCACGAUCCAUAGCUGGUCUGAGAGGAAGACGAGCCACACUGGAACGGAGAAACGGUCCAGACACCUAAGGGAGGCAGCAGUGGGGAAUAUGGCACGAUGGGCGGAAGCCUGAGGCAGCCGUGCCGCGAGUAUGAAGAAGGCCUUCGGGUUGUAAAGUACUUUCAGCGGGGAGGCGUUACCAGCAGAAGAAGCACCGGCUAAAUCCGUGCCAGCAGCCGCGGUAAUUC
rnacentral:rRNA from 1 species